rnacentral:rRNA from 1 species
CUAAAGGGUUGUUCGAGACUAGAACGUUGAUAGGCAGGGUGUGUAAGCGUUGUGAGGCGUUGAGCUAACCUGUACUAAUUGCCCGUGAGGCUUAACCAUACAACACCCAAGGGGUUUUGUA